rnacentral:rRNA from 1 species
AGCAGCCGCGGUAAUUCCAGCUCCAAUAGCGUAUAUUAAAGUUGUUGCAGUUAAAAAGCUCGUAGUUGAAUUUCGGGAUCAAUAUGUUGGUCGUGCCUCGGUACGUACUAGCAUAUUGGUUUCUCCUUUCUGAAGAACCAUGAUGUCAUUUAUUUGGUGUCGUGGGGAAUCAGGACUGUUACUUUGAAAAAAUUAGAGUGUUUAAAGCAGGCUCACGCUUGAAUACAUUAGCAUGGAAUAAUGAAAUAGGACGUUUGAUUCUAUUUUGUUGGUUUCUAGGAUCGACGUAAUGAUUAAUAGGGAUAGUUGGGGGCAUUAGUAUUCAAUUGUCAGAGGUGAAAUUCUUGGAUUUAUUGAAGACUAACUACUGCGAAAGCAUUUGCCAAGGAUGUUUUCAUUAAUCAAGAACGAAAGUUAGGGGAUCGAAGACGAUCAGAUACCGUCGUAGUCUUAACCAUAAACUAUGCCGACUAGGGAUCGGAUGAUGUUAAUUUUUAAU